rnacentral:rRNA from 1 species
UACGUAGGAUCCGAGCGUUAUCCGGAUUUACUGGGCGCAAAGAGUUGCGUAGGUGGCAUAGUAAGUAGACAGUGAAAUCCUGGGGCUCAACCCCUUCAACAUUGCCUAAACUACUAAGCUAGAGAAUGAGAGAGGUUACUGGAAUUCCUUGUGUAGGAGUGAAAUCCGUAGAUAUAAGGAGGAACACCGAUGGCGUAGGCAGGUAACUGGCUCAUUUCUGACACUAAGGCACGAAAGCGUGGGGAGCAAACGGG